rnacentral:rRNA from 1 species
UACCGGCAGCACGAGUGAUGGCCGAUAUUAUUGGGCCUAAAGCGUCCGUAGCUUGCUGUGUAAGUCCAUUGGGAAAUCCACGCGCUCAACGCGUGGGCGUCCGGUGGAAACUACACGGCUUGGGGCCGAGAGACUCGACGGGUACGUCCGGGGUAGGAGUGAAAUCCUGUAAUCCUGGACGGACCACCAAUGGGGAAACCACGUCGAGAGACCGGACCCGACAGUGAGGGACGAAAGCCAGGGUCUCGAA